GGUGGGAGCUGGGGGAGGCUCCAGUGGGGAGCAGGAGAAGGGUAUCCGGAGUUGUAAGUGAGGUCAGCGGCUGUGAGGGCUGCUGCUUGCUCUCUCCAGGAGAUGAUUCUGCUUCCGUCGCGGCCAUUUCCUGUGUUUCUCUCUCCUGUAGGGCCAGGCAGCAUCAGCACAAAAACAGGAUCCAAGCUGCUUGAGAAUUGCCUUGAUAACAAUGACUUAGGAGACAGCACUGGAUGGGGUGAACGCCAGCUCCCUGCUCCUGAACAGCCCUAAGGUAUGGAUUUAUGGUAGGGAAUGAACAGCCAGAAAGAGAAAUCCAGAGUGACCCCCAAGCCUACCGGCAGCUCCAUUCAUCCCCACAGUGGCAAAGCAAAUGCAUUGUCCAUCUGUGGCUCCUAGCCCACCUGCAGCCAGCGAGGACCAAGC
ensembl:lncRNA